GCUACACACGUGCUACAAUGGGAAGUACAACGAGUUGCGAAGUCGCGAGGCUAAGCUAAUCUCUUAAAGCUUCUCUCAGUUCGGAUUGCAGGCUGCAACUCGCCUGCAUGAAGCCGGAAUCGCUAGUAAUCGCGGAUCAGCACGCCGCGGUGAAUACGUUCCCGGGCCUUGUACACACCGCCCGUCACACCACGAGAGUUUGUAACACCCGAAGUCGGUGAGGUAACCUUUUGGAGCCAGCCGCCUAAGGUGGGAUAGAUGAUUGGGGUGAAGUCGUAACAAGGUAGCCGUAUCGGAAGGUGCGGCUGGAUCACCUCCUUUCUAAGGAA
rnacentral:rRNA from 1 species